rnacentral:snoRNA from 1 species
AGCCCAUGGUUAGGGCGCCUUCUCAACAAAUCCUUGUAUCUCUCCCAUGCAUCGUAGAGUGUUUCUAAAUCCAUCUGCACAAAAGAAGAGAUAUUAUUCCUUAAUUU